UGCGUAGGGUGCAAGCGUUGUCCGGAAUUAUUGGGCGUAAAGAGCUCGUAGGCGGUUUGUCGCGUCUGCUGUGAAAACUCGGGGCUUAACUCCGGGCCUGCAGUGGGUACGGGCAGACUAGAGUGCGGUAGGGGAGACUGGAAUUCCUGGUGUAGCGGUGAAAUGCGCAGAUAUCAGGAGGAACACCAGUGGCGAAGGCGGGUCUCUGGACAGUUCCUGACGCUGAGGCACGAAGGUCAGGGGAGCAAACGGG
rnacentral:rRNA from 1 species